GAUGAACGCUGGCGGCGUGCCUAAUACAUGCAAGUCGAGCGAACAGACGAGGAGCUUGCUCCUCUGACGUUAGCGGCGGACGGGUGAGUAACACGUGGAUAACCUACCUAUAAGACUGGGAUAACUUCGGGAAACCGGAGCUACUACCGGAUAAUAUAUUGAACCGCAUGGUUCAAUAGUGAAAGACGGUUUUGCCGUCACUUAUAGAUGGAUCCGCGUCGCAUUAGCUAGUUGGUAAGGUAACGGCUUACCAAGGCGACGAUGCGUAGCCGACCUGAGAGGGUGAUCGGCCACACUGGAACUGAGACACGGUCCAGACUCCUACGGGAGGCAGCAGUAGGGAAUCUUCCGCAAUGGGCGAAAGCCUGACGGAGCAACGCCGCGUGAGUGAUGAAGGUCUUCGGAUCGUAAAACUCUGUUAUUAGGGAAGAAAAAAUGUGUAAGUAACUAUGCACGUCUUGACGGUACCUAAUCAGUAAGCCACGGCUAACUUCGUG
rnacentral:rRNA from 1 species